ACUAAGAGUCACAUCACGGUGAAGAUACCCAAUCUUGUCUGAUCUCUGAAGCUAGGCAAGUUUUGUCCUAGUAAAUACGUAGAUGGGAGACCACUUGGAAAUAUUGAGUACUAUUAGUU
rnacentral:rRNA from 1 species